rnacentral:rRNA from 1 species
UACAGAGGUGGCAAGCGUUGUUCGGAAUUACUGGGCGUAAAGGGCGCGUAGGCGGUCUUGUAAGUCCCGUGUGAAAUCCCUCGGCUCAACUGAGGAACUGCACGGGAAACUGCUUGGCUUGAGUUCGGGAGAGGAAAGCGGAAUUCCCAGUGUAGCGGUGAAAUGCGUAGAUAUUGGGAGGAACACCGGUGGCGAAGGCGGCUUUCUGGUCCGAAACUGACACUGAGAUGCGAAAGCCAGGGGAGCAAACGGG